UACAGAGGUCCCGAGCGUUGUUCGGAUUCACUGGGCGUAAAGGGUGCGUAGGUGGUGAGGUAAGUCGGAUGUGAAAUCUCCGGGCUCAACCCGGAAAUGGCAUUGGAAACUACCUUGCUGGAGGAUUUGAGGGGGGAUUGGAAUACUUGGUGUAGCAGUGAAAUGCGUAGAUAUCAAGUCGAACACCAGUGGCGAAGGCGAAUCCCUGGAAAAUACCUGACACUGAGGCACGAAAGCUAGGGGAGCAAACAGG
rnacentral:rRNA from 1 species